rnacentral:pre_miRNA from 1 species
AAUAUGUACAGUUUUUCACUAUUUAUGUGUCCAUCGUUUGAUCGUUUAUUUUAUUUGAAAUUUUUUUAUAAUUAGUAUUUUUAUUGUUAUUAGAUAAUAAAACAUGAAUAUUACUUUGUGUGACUAAUUUUUUUUAACUUUUUUUUAAAAACAAAUUAAAUAAGACGAACGGUGAAACGUUGGACACGGAUACCCACGGUUGUAUUUAUU